UACGGAGGGGGCUAGCGUUGUUCGGAAUUACUGGGCGUAAAGCGCACGUAGGCGGCUUUGUAAGUUAGAGGUGAAAGCCCAGGGCUUAACCCCGGAAUUGCCUUUAAGACUGCAUCGCUAGAAUCGUGGAGAGGUGAGUGGAAUUCCGAGUGUAGAGGUGAAAUUCGUAGAUAUUCGGAAGAACACCAGUGGCGAAGGCGACUCACUGGACACGUAUUGACGCUGAGGUGCGAAAGCGUGGGGAGCAAACAGGAU
rnacentral:rRNA from 1 species